AAGCUGGCUGAUGGAGAAACCAAUGCAAGGACCAGUAACCCAGCCAAGAGGUGUGCUUGAGCAAGGGCCCCAGUCAGAUGGUGGAUAUGGACGAUGGGUGACCCAGAGGCUGAUGGACUGGACCCUCACAAUGGUCAUGGACCCCAGUACUGAGCAGCAUGAAACCAGCUCGUGAAAAAGCUGAAAUAAUAUGGGAUCCAGCAGAACUAGGCCUGGCCACCUCUGGCCCAGAUCUAACAUUUCCAGCUAUCUUUGCCUAGCUGCAUGCUUGAGGACUGCUAGAUGUUUUGGAAUGAAGGAUGUGACUCACGGUAAACUUUGCUCUGGUACAGUUCCACACCCUAACUCUGUUAACAUCUAGGGACAGGUAAUUCUUUGUUGCGGGUUCAUCCUGUGCUCUGUGGGUAGAAAUUUUCACCUCCUUCCAUUAGGGAAACUCAGAAUGUCUCCAGACUUUGCUCAGUGCCCUGGGGUGCAUACAGAAGGGUGUGAAAUAGUUUUGUAGAGUCACUCUACUGUGGUUUACUUUAUACCAGUAUCAAGGUUAGGCACUCUCCAUUUCUGUCUCUCUCUCUCUUGAUUACUUCAUCUAAUAGGUCACAUGUAUUUGUGGAAUCUAUUUUUAGCCUCACUGUGCAAUAUAUAUUCCCACUGUUCACUGGGAACAAUUGCUCUUUAACCAGUGAACGUUUUCAGUGCUGGUGCCCACACCACUGUGUUUACUACAGGAUGUCACCAAAGGGGGAAAGGGAGCCAUUGCUCAUACAUUAGUCUGUGCAAAUUGCGACAUCUAAAACUCCAUGUCAGUUGUGAUGUUUAUAUAUACACAAGCAGAACUCCAAGUCAAUCAAUCAUACAACAGUCGCUGCAGGGACAAAGUCAGUGUCCUAACUGGGGAAGUGUAGAACAGCCGGGGCCCCCUGCCUUUCAACAGAACAAAGAGGCUCUUGCAGAAGCUCACUAAUUUUAGACGAAAUAGUUUCUUAUUUUGGUCACAGCUGUUGACAUUCCAAGGGCCUCUUAUUCUGCCCGAUGAAAUGAGGAGGCCCUGCCAGAGGUUUGGUCCUGUCUGAGGAUUUGGUGACAUCAUUUUGAGAAUUGCUAGCUGUCGGGAGUAUGUUUUAUGUAUAGUGGAUAACUGUUGUAAAUGGUUUGACUAAGGAUUCUCAAGCUGCCUUUAGAGUUGGUUCUUAGAGAAUUCCCUCUUUAUGGGAGUGCUUGCCCCAACUGAAGUGGAGAGAUCACUUUUUUGGACAGCAUCCAAUGUCACUGGCCAUCUAGAACAGGAACAUGCCAAGGACAUAGCAAGACUCACUGGCCCCAUGCAUGUGCCACCAGCACUCUCCUUCCCAACAAAGCUUCGAGCAUUUCAAGACUUUGUCACAGUUUACAAGGUUUCAGGGUGGUGUUGCCUUUUGAAUAGCAGGGUCAUGAUGCACUUGUGGCUUCAGAAAGACCCUCCAUCUGCUGCUACACAUAGAUUUCACAUAGCUCUGCCAGAGGACCUACCUGCCCCAGGUUGUAAUAGACGGUGACUCCUUUCAGUUCCUUUUGGAUUACUUACUCCUCAGUAAGAGGAAACCUCUCCAGGAGGGGCUUUCAUCACUGACCAUUUCAUUACUGUAGCUGAGGAACUGUGAUCAAACUCAGUUAAAUUUAGUUCUUGCACUCCCUCUCCCU